UACAGAGAGUGCAAGCGUUAAUCGGAAUUACUGGGCGUAAAGCGCACGUAGGUGGAUAUUUAAGUCGGAUGUGAAAUCCCUGGGCUUAACCUAGGAAUUGCAUUUGAUACUGGAUAUCUAGAGUAUGGUAGAGGGAAGUGGAAUUUCCGGUGUAGCGGUGAAAUGCGUAGAUAUCGGAAGGAACACCAGUGGCGAAGGCGGCUUCCUGGACCAAUACUGACACUAAAGUGCGAAAGCGUGGGGAGCAAACAGG
rnacentral:rRNA from 1 species